rnacentral:rRNA from 1 species
GACGAACGCUGGCGGCGUGCCUAACACAUGCAAGUCGAACGGAAACGCCCUGCUUUUUUGCGCUCCUCGAGUGGCGAACGGGUGAGUAACACGUGAGUAACCUGCCCUUCACUUUGGGAUAUCCUAAGGAAACUGGGGCUAUUACCGGAUAGGAGCUCCUGCUGCUUGGUGGGCGUUGGAUAGUUUCGGCGGUUGGGGAUGGAAUCGCGGCUUAUUGGCUUGUUGGUUGGGUAGUGGCUUACCAAGGCCUUGACGGGUAGCCGGCCUGCGAGGGUGACCGGACACACUAGGCCGGAGAUACGGCACAGCCUAGAAUGGGAGGCAAGGGUGGAGAGGAUUACACAGUAGGCGGGAGCAUGGUGUGGCAACGCAACGUGGGGGAAGACAUGCUGGGGGUAGUGAACCAAUGUCGCCUGAGACGAGGUGUUAGUGACGGUACUGGGUGAAGAAGCACCGGCUAACUACGUG